UUUUUACUAGAUUUCCCGACUUUAUACAAAUUAAUAUAGAACCGUAAAGAAUAAGACAUAAACUAAAAUACAUCAGAAGUUACAGCUGCAUCCAAGGAACCUAAUGCAAAUUUAGUAUCUAGCAAUAUGAUAUUGAACCACUUUCGAGAACAAGAUUUUCGAAGCCUUCUCUUAUCCAUGGUGAUUCAAAGUUCCAAGGAAUUUCAGGAAUUCUAAGCAUUGCUUGCACCCAAGAUACCAAUCAGAAUAAGUUGUAGUGCAGCGUGGAAGAGCCAGCUCUCAGAUGUCCAAGUUCAGAGGGAGCUCAUGGGUCCCAAAGCAUGGCUCACAAGAGAGGGACAUAACUUAAUGUUAUAAGAAUUAGUGUAAGUGCAAAAGGGGUUGGGGAAUGACAUAACAAGCUGGUGAUCAUGCCCAGCCACAAAGUAGGCUGGUACACCCCUGACCAAAACCUGUCCAGCCACACAAAUAAGAGCACAAACUUGUUGAAAGUCAGACAAUGGUCUGGACAGUGAUUAGGACACUGCAAAACUAAGUUCUUGGGCUGACACUGCACAUAGGCGGAAAGUGAGUGAGAAUUGACAGAGUUUUGGAUUCAAAUAAUCUAGUCUAUAUAUAUGAACAACAAUGUUAAAUGUUGUCAUGCUUUCUGAACCAUAACUUAACAUACAAGGGAGCUUAGGGAUGGGGACUUCAUAUAAUAGCAGGAACAACAAAUUGCAGAAAGAAGUGCAGUAAACACCGAGAGAACUGUAGCAUUAACAUAUAGGAGAUAGGAAAUAUUAAACUAUAGAGACAUAGCAGUUGCAAAAAUAAACAUGAAGAGAAGCAGAACACUUCCAGCCACAACACAAAGGAAGCUAACUUGUAAUUGCAAAGAAGAAAACUCGAAUGCUUUUCUUAGGAGAAGUAGUGAAUUAUAGCUAUGUGUGUUUGUUAGAACUUGUUUUUGAAAGAGAGUAGGUAGAAGUAUUUAUAGUUUUAAAAACGAGUGGAGAGUAAGGCAAUAAGUAAAAUUCUAACAAAAAUUGGAACAAUCACAAGUUAGAAUCAAUUAACCCAAGUGAUUCCCCUUGAAUUAAUGAAACACUGCUUAGCGGGUAGCAGCAGGUUUUAUUAAGGAAAAAAAAAUCAGUUUGGGUAGAUAAAUAUUUGCCAUAAAAAGGGUAGUAUAAACAUGAAGCAAUCAAUCGAGUCCAAGUACGAAAUAGGCUUAUUUUGGGAAAUGAUUCAGCAAGGUAAAACAUCACUGUAAAGGGAAAGAAAUCAAUUAAAUUUAAACAAGCGAGUGAAAUUAGGGCUCAUAUAAGAAAUGCUUUUUGCAAUCAGUCACAUGAUCAAUGAAAUCAAGAUCAAUCAAACAAGGAACAUGAUUCUGCACUUCACCAUAUAAAUAGCAGGGGAUGGACAAGCAUGCAGAGUUAAACAUGUUGAUACAAAGAAACAACACAAACAUACAGUAGCAGUAGGGGUAAGCUAGCAUCCAACCUCAAAAAAUUAUUCGAAGCAUAGUAGCCAUGUAGGUCUAAUAGUCACAUAGAAUCAACAGUGAAGAAGAACAUAGUAUCAGAUAAGAGAAAUCAGAAGUAAGUAAAGGUCUCAAAGUAGCAAUAAGUGAGAAAAAUUCUAAAAAUUUAAGGCUUUAACAGUAGUCGAGUUUUCAAAGAUAGUAAGAACUCAAAAUUAAACAAGUCAAACGAGGAAGAGAGAGUCAGCAACAAAGAACAAGUGCAUAUUUAAACAAACAAUUUAAGAACUGGAUAAAACUAAAAGGAACUAGGCUUUUAAACAUGCUGAAACAAAUAGAAGAAUGACAUGAGCAAAUCAUAGCCAAAUCAUAAACAUGCUAAAAUCAGAGAUCUUUUGAAAAUCUAAAGGAAAACCCUAAUGAAGGGUCGUUUUUGCAAUAAAAGUUGAAGGACUUUCGAGAAACACUUAAAAAAUUCACGGUAAGUACAUAUCUAAGGUAGAUAUGAAAGAAAGAGCAAAAAAAUCCCAAAUAUUAGGGUUUCAAAGAACCCAGAAAGGUAAGAAAGGCUUUGAAAAUUAACGAUCUAACCAGGAGUGUCAAGGAUCUGACUCGAACAGCAACGACUGGCCGGAGAAAAGUCAGGGAUGACCAGAAAAAGGCCAUGAACGGAAGUCAGACAAAGAGUGGACCAACUUCCUUCGAGAUCUAGCUGUGAAACCACAAAAGCGAACACUCAGGAACCACAUGAGGCCAUUAUACGUCUCUGAUGGCCAUGGAUUAGGGUGGUAUUGGAAAGUGGCAGCUAGGGUUUAUGAGGCUUCAGAGAGAGUUGUGAGAGAAGAGGGGUUCAAGGAAGCAUUUGGUGAGUAAUGUGGUAGGGCAAGA
rnacentral:lncRNA from 1 species